rnacentral:rRNA from 1 species
UACCUGCAGCUCGAGUGGUAACCGCUAUUAUUGGGCCUAAAGCGUCCGUAGCCGGUUUGGUAAAUAUCUGGGUAAAUCGUGAGGCUUAACUUCACGAAUUUCGGAUAGACUGCCAGACUUGGGAUCGGGGGAGGUCAGAGGUACUCCAGGGGUAGCGGUGAAAUGUUGUAAUCCUUGGAGGACCACCGGUAGCGAAGGCGUCUGACUAGAACGAGUCCGACGGUGAGGGACGAAGCCCUGGGGCGCAAACCGGAUUAGAUACCCGGGUAGUCCAGGGUGUAAACAAUGUGGGCUUUGUAUUGGAGGUCCCACGUGGGCGUCCAGUGCAGAAGAGAAGUUGUUAAGCCCACCGCCUGGGAAGUACGGUCGCAAGGCUGAAACUUAAAGGAAUUGGCGGGGAGCACAGCAACGGGAGGAGCGUGCGGUUU